CCCCCGUGUGCGUGCUCGUCUUCAAAACGGGCCAAGCGCACUCUGCGGCCGCCCGGUAGACACUCUCCCCGGAGAGGAGGCAGACCCGAAAAACAAGUUUUGCAUCGAAACGUUGCAACUCGGAGCCGCUUUUCCCCAUAGAAAACAAUGUUGUAAAUGGGGGAUUGGUUCCUGAACCCAGGCCCAAGACCCUGUUUUCACUAAAAAUACCCCAGCAUUUUGCACUCGAUCCACUACGGAUAUGUCAUAUAGCUACACGCGUGUAUCGAUAUCGUAAAUAGCAAUCCGAGCGAUUCGGAAAGACUUCUUUGAGGUGACUGUGCUGGACUUUGCGACGGGCUCCUGGCUGGAGGUUUUUCGGGGUCUCGUCGGCUUUCUGAAAGAAAGCGUCGGAGGACGUUCGGACAGAGGAGCGAGGAGCGAGGCGGCGAGCUCGUUCGCGGGCGUGGUGCGGCAUCCGAUGGAGUGUUGUGAAGUCGAAACUGACGUCAGGAAGUUGAAACAUGGUUUAUAAACGUGGUCGUAAGUGCAAAAUGUUGUAAGUCAGGGACUGCCUGUACAUCGAACGCGUCCCAGGGAGAAACGCUCCUCCGCGUUAGCGAGCUGGGACCGCAGCCUCACCGCAGGCCACGACGUAAAAAUGAACAGCUUGCCUCUCUGGUGUGAUACGCCCCUCUUUCAGAUUACGAUUUUUAUCAGGAUGGACUUCAAAUCUCAAUCAAGUCAGUCAUUUUUCUGGACGGGUACGUGAUGCACUCCUCAAUCCAGCAUCGGAAGUGCUAUUUAAAGAAAUAAGAGAAAGAAAUCAGGGCUUUAUCAGUGUCUGCACUAACCGUGCCCUGCAGGGACCGUCCUGCAAAAGUCACGCUUCUUGAGGGGUGGGAUUAGUGCGUGUGCUUUAAAUCCCUAUCUGCUAAGCGCUAAACAGAAACUGCCGCUGUCCGUUCUUGUUGCCACCAAAGGUGACGACUUCAGGCUGGGACCAACGUGAGCUGCGUAUGAUUCCAUGUUUUAAACCAACCUUUUUGGCAAGUAUGCUGCAAGUUAGCCCUGCAUCCUCCCCCAGCUCUGCUCCAGUCUCUUCUCUUGCCCAAUCUUCUGCUCUGCUUUCUGCCUCUUGCACGACUGCUGCCUGGAUGCCCGUCCCCUCCCCAAUCUGACCGUGUCAUGGGGUGGCCACUUCUGCCUUAAAUUGCCUCAGGUGGAAUUAAAGUGAUUUUAAAUCACCAGUUUUAAAAUCAUGAUUUAAGUCAAGGGCAGGAAAUGUUAAUUUAAGUUCUCAAUUCUAAUUUUGUUUUGCUUUUGUAUUUUUUUUUUAUAGUUAUUUUAUCUUUAAAGCUGAUUUUCACUGGUUGGUAAGCAUUAAAGUAUAUUGAUCUAUACAAAUGGAUAUAGGCCCACAAGACAACUUGGAACUUCUUUGUUAACUGAUUGUCAGAGGAAGACGAGCUUUCCUGCUUUUUUUGUUCCCAUUUUGCAUCUCAGCUUUGAAUGAAUCAGUCAUUACAUCAAACUAGUUGAAUAUAUUGAAAUAAAGGAAGAUAUUAUUUCUGUACCUGCAGAGGAGGCUGUGGCUUUCAGCAGCUGUUUUUUAUCAAAUUCUUGUCACUGGUGCUUAGCUAAUGAUUUCUAUUAGUUCAGUAGUUUGGUUGAGUGGAUUUAAAAUCUGAGCAGCAAACGUGUUGUCCGUAUCCUGUUUUUAUUUAAUUUAAAUGCUUGCUUGACUUUUAAAAAUGUGGACAUUAAUAUAGGUAGCUGUAUUUUUAUUUAGUAGUAGAAAUGUUUUUCAAAUAAGCCAAUUUAUAUUUUAAAAAGAUAUGAUUUACACUUAAUAAAGAAGCAAAGCAUG